GACGAACGCUGGCGGCGUGCUUAACACAUGCAAGUCGAACGGAAAGGCCCUGCUUUUGUGGGGUGCUCGAGUGGCGAACGGGUGAGUAACACGUGAGUAACCUGCCCUUGACUUUGGGAUAACUUCAGGAAACUGGGGCUAAUACCGGAUAGGAGCUCCUGCUGCAUGGUGGGGGUUGGAAAGUUUCGGCGGUUGGGGAUGGACUCGCGGCUUAUCAGCUUGUUGGUGGGGUAGUGGCUUAUCAAGGCUUUGACGGGUAGCCGGCCUGAGAGGGUGACCGGCCACAUUGGGACUGAGAUACGGCCCAGACUCCUACGGGAGGCAGCAGUGGGGAAUAUUGCACAAUGGGCGGAAGCCUGAUGCAGCAACGCCGCGUGCGGGAUGACGGCCUUCGGGUUGUAAACCGCUUUCGCCUGUGACGAAGCGUGAGUGACGGUAAUGGGUAAAGAAGCACCGGCUAACUACGUGCCAGCAGCCGCGGUGAUACGUAGGGUGCGAGCGUUGUCCGGAUUUAUUGGGCGUAAAGGGCUCGUAGGUGGUUGAUCGCGUCGGAAGUGUAAUCUUGGGGCUUAACCCUGAGCGUGCUUUCGAUACGGGUUGACUUGAGGAAGGUAGGGGAGAAUGGAAUUCCUGGUGGAGCGGUGGAAUGCGCAGAUAUCAGGAGGAACACCAGUGGCGAAGGCGGUUCUCUGGGCCUUUCCUGACGCUGAGGAGCGAAAGCGUGGGGAGCGAACAGGCUUAGAUACCCUGGUAGUCCACGCUGUAAACGGUGGGUACUAGGUGUGGGGUCCAUUCCACGGGUUCCGUGCCGUAGCUAACGCUUUAAGUACCCCGCCUGGGGAGUACGGCCGCAAGGCUAAAACUCAAAGGAAUUGACGGGGCCCCGCACAAGCGGCGGAGCAUGCGGAUUAAUUCGAUGCAACGCGUAGAACCUUACCUGGGUUUGACAUGGAUCGGGAGUGCUCAGAGAUGGGUGUGCCUCUUUUGGGGUCGGUUCACAGGUGGUGCAUGGCUGUCGUCAGCUCGUGUCGUGAGAUGUUGGGUUAAGUCCCGCAACGAGCGCAACCCUUGUUCACUGUUGCCAGCACGUUAUGGUGGGGACUCAGUGGAGACCGCCGGGGUCAACUCGGAGGAAGGUGGGGAUGACGUCAAGUCAUCAUGCCCCUUAUGUCCAGGGCUUCACGCAUGCUACAAUGGCUGGUACAGAGAGUGGCGAGCCUGUGAGGGUGAGCGAAUCUCGGAAAGCCGGUCUCAGUUCGGAUUGGGGUCUGCAACUCGACCUCAUGAAGUCGGAGUCGCUAGUAAUCGCAGAUCAGCAACGCUGCGGUGAAUACGUUCCCGGG
rnacentral:rRNA from 1 species